GCCGUGAGGUGUUGGGUUAAGUCCUAUAACGAGCGCAACCCUUUUACCUAAUUCGCCAGCACGUAACGGUGGGGACUUUAGGUAGACUGCCCGCGCAAGCGGGAGGAAGGAGAGGAUGAGGUCAAGUCAUCAUGGCCUUUAUGCCCAGGGCUACAAACGUACUACAAUGGCGUGUACAGAGGGAAGCUACUUGGCAACAAGAUGCAAAUCUCAAAAGCACGUCUCAGUUCGGAUUGGGGUCUGCAAUUCGACCCCAUGAAGUUGGAAUCGCUAGUAAUCGCGUAUCAGCAAUGACGCGGUGAAUACGUUCUCGGACCUUGUACACACCGCCCAUCAAGCCAUGGGAGUUGGUAGAGCUU
rnacentral:rRNA from 1 species